rnacentral:rRNA from 1 species
UACGUAGGCAGCAAGCGUUGUUCGGAGUUACUGGGCGUAAAGGGUGCGUAGGCGGCUUUUUAAGUUUGGUGUGAAAUCUCCCGGCUCAACUGGGAGGGUGCGCUUGAUACUCGAGGGCUUGAGUGCGGGAGAGGAGAGUGGAAUUCCCAGUGUAGAGGUGAAAUUCGUAGAUAUUGGGAAGAACACCGGUGGCGAAGGCGGCUCUCUGGACCGUAACUGACGCUGAGGCGCGAAAGCGUGGGGAGCAAACAGG